ensembl:lncRNA
GGAAGUUGGUUAAGCCACUCUGGAAAACAGUAUGCAGGCUCCUCAGUUACUUGUUAAUUGAAAUCAUUUUAGAAUAAUGUAUCUUCUCCAAAGAACUUUGAAAGAGUGGCCAUAAUUUGGAAAGGGAAGAAUUUAAGGACUUAUAUCGAAGAUGUUGGAUGGAUUGAACAAUUUUUGACUUUAUAAAAUGGAAGCUUAAGGGAAAACCAUCUGUCAGGAGAGGAGCCUGUGUGCAUACAGGGACACUAGGAAAUACCUAGAAGAGCUCCAGUAUUAUGGCCAGCCUCUCGGAAAAAGCGUGUUUCUUCUCACUCUCCAACUGACCUGCAAGUGAACGACAUGGAGGCAGAGGUCACAUCUCUUAGCUCUUGGGAGUCUGUAUAAUGCUUUGCACACACACACCAUAGUUAGUCCACUUCUGGCCUUGGUGGCUAGGUUGGUGGAAGAGGCAGUGGGCAAGGAGGGGACUCACUCUUUGGGCCCUUCUAUAGCGGCAGUAAAAGAGGGACAGGGACUCCCCUGGUAGCCCAGUGGUUGAGAAUCCACGUGCCAGUGCAGGGGACCCAGGUUUGAUCUCUAAUUCAGGAAGAUCCUACAAGCCACAGGAAAACUAAGCCCGUGCACCAGGACUAUUGAAGUCCGCGAGCCCUAUAGACUGUGCUCUGCAGCAAGAGGUCCUUACACCACAGCUGGAGAAAGCCCAUGAGCAGCAGUGAAGACCAGGUAUAGCCAAUAAAUAAAUAAAUACAGAGGGACAGCACAAGAGAAGCUGCCUGGGGUUCCCUAAUGUCAGUCCUGGGUUCUACAUAAAUGGUCAUCCAAUCACCGACAGCCACAGGACUGGAAAAGGUCAGUUUUCACUCCAAUCCCAAAGAAAGGCAAUGCCAAAGAAAGCUCACACUACCGCACAAUUGCACUCAUCUCACAUGCUAGCAAAGUAAUGCUCAAAAUUCUCCAAGCCAG